UUGAGAAAGAAUAUCAAAUGAUUCGAUUUCACUUUCACUCAACCACCGGAAGUGUCCAUACGGGCCCCCGCGAUCCU